rnacentral:rRNA from 1 species
CCUACGGGUGGCAGCAGUGAGGAAUAUUGGUCAAUGGACGAGAGUCUGAACCAGCCAAGUAGCGUGAAGGAUGACUGCCCUAUGGGUUGUAAACUUCUUUUAUAUGGGAAUAAAAUGUUCCACGUGUGGGAUUUUGUAUGUACCAUAUGAAUAAGGAUCGGCUAACUCCGUGCCAGCAGCCGCGGUAAUACGGAGGGUCCGAGCGUUAUCCGGAUUUAUUGGGUUUAAAGGGAGCGUAGGUGGAUUGUUAAGUCAGUUGUGAAAGUUUGCGGCUCAACCGUAAAAUUGCAGUUGAAACUGGCAGUCUUGAGUACAGGAGAGGUGGGAGGAAUUCGUGGUGUAGCGGUGAAAUGCUUAGAUAUCACGAAGAACUCCGAUUGCGAAGGCAGUUCACUGGACUGCAACUGACACUGAGGCUCGAAAGUGUGGGUAUCAAACAGGAUUAGAUACCCGAGUAGUC